AGCAGCACCGCUUAUAGAUGCAAACAAGCUGUUAACUCAGAAAGAUAAAGAGGUCAAAUGGAGAAAGACGUGUGAUAUUUAACCUUGCCACCGAAAAUGUCAGGUGAUGACUUGCAAUCGAUACAGUAGGGUAUUUUGAUAUCGAAUGUCAUAGGCUAGGGGGCCAGGAACCUUAUUUACUCAACGCUGUACACCAAAUUCAUUUUUAAGUUAAAAGAAAAACUAUGGCCGUUACUAGUAAUCGAGAAUAACUUGGUAGCAUGUACCAUGCUUUCACUAAUUGCUUUAGGUGCCUGUGUAGUCACGAGUAGACAUAGACACUCUGUCAGCUCUUUCCAGCGUAACAUCCAAAGUGUGACAGCUGGAGGUAGAGAGGAGUGCACAAGCACUCGACAAGUACCCAUUUCUUCGAGGAACUGAAGGAACAUGAAUGAAGUGUUUUGCUUAAAGACACAUCGUAUCAGCCGCUCUUGGAAUCGAACUAACGGCCUAACGAGUCUAAGCCCAAUUCCGUAACCAUUUAGUCACUGCCCCUUCUCGUUUUAAAGUCAUUCAUAAAUAUAUAAGUUUGGACUUAAUUCUUCUCCGGUUUUAAUAUCAGCGCAUGAACCUUGGAGGCUUUGAUGGAAUUAUAUUUGUAUUAAUUUCUGUACCAGCUUGUUGGUAGAGUCGAUGUCUCUCACUUUCAACGUAUCUCAUGUAUCCUCCAUUUUCUCGCAACAUCUUAUUCAUAUUUUGGAAUAAAAAGAAGUAGUCCUCAACAAAGUCCUCAAACCUCUAUGUUUACGCUACAAAGUCUAACUCCAUCUAAAGAAGGGUUGGAGUAAAGGGAAGGUUAACAAUCAUUGUUGUAGGAUAUGUAGCAUAGGUAAAUCUAAAGACACAGUUUUCGGUAACACAAAAUUGAUAUAUGAUAAACGAUUUACUUUCUUGAUUAGUUUUCCGCUGUUUUCGCGGAUCCCCAUGACUCUCUGUCACCAUCUAAUUCUAUUAUUAUGAAUGUGAAUUGGGAGAUUGAUACAUAGUGAAUCUUUCAUUAGCUGAUUACACAACCUUGGAUGCCACUGCUAUGGAUGCGCUGCAGUUACUCUCUUGAUAGAGCUUGGUGAUCCUGACCGUUGAUGUUCAAGGAUUCCUCCGCUCAGAAUCAAUGUAAAAAGUACCGUUGGCUCAGUUGAUCUCUUUCGUUACCUCUUCACAAUCUGUCAUGCUGCAGUCCCAUGACUUCGCCAUAUCCCUAACAGGGUGGCUGAACGGGUGCUAUGCUUUGCCAAAGGGCAGCCCGUAACUAUGCAGAUUACGGUCAUUACUCCGUGAGGUAUUUUCAGAAUACCCUCAUACUCAGACCUCCUUGAUAAUCAACAACAACCAUUUGUACUACACUUGAUUAGCGCCAUUGAACCAAAGCGAGAAGAGAAAUUGGUUGCUGUGAUGUUUCACACUCACUUUUACAAUUUGCACUGGGAGUUCAUUUUCCAGAAACCGCCCCCAAAUAAAACAAAAUAAAAACAAUAAUAAAGACCAGCUAAUUGCUAGCGCUCAAACUUUGUUAGCUGUUAGCGUGUUACGUUAAAAAAUUUUAAAUUUUGAUUGGGCAUGCUUUGAGAAAAUCAAAUGUGCCAUAAACCAUGAUUUUGAAUCAUAAAAAUAAAGCUACAGAGCCUUAUCGUAUUUUUCUUCCGCUCCUUUCGGCGCUUAAGAACAGUGCUCAUCUCUUUAUAUUAUGUCUUUAUAUAUUAAGCUCUCCAAGAAAGAGGAAGAAAAGGAAGAAGUUAUUUUCAUACUGGGCCAAAUGUUUGCUACAGAGUGAAUUCCGUUAAAGAUACUCCAAAACCAGGUACUGGUAUUAAAACCAGUGAUUAAGUCCGCAGCCAAGAACUCAGAACGUACAAAGCCGGAACAAACGCUAGGAAGGAUCUCACCUAUACUCAAGCAAUCCCACCACUUCUCUCUUCCACAUUAUUCCUUUAUUUUAUUGACCCUAACAGGAUGAAAAGCAAAGGCGACUUCUGUGGGAUUUGAACUUAGAAUACGGUGAUCUGAAAUAAACACCGCAUUGCUCAACUGGUAGAAAACUGUGAACAGCUUACAACAUUCCACAUAUCUCACAUUUAGCUUUGGUCUUCACUAAUCUCAGGAAUACUAUCUGAAAAACUACGACUACAGCUUCACUAUCCAGGAAGCUGUGCCUAUGCUGUACCCUCAGCCUUAAUGCUUGUCUGCACCUCAUCUGCUAAAACAUAUCGAAUCAAAAGAGUAGAGGGUGCUGAGGGGAACUUAAUAUACUGUAGUUGAUGAUGCAGAGACAAGAGACGGAGAUUCUUACCAGUGGAACGCGUCUUUUCUCCAAGAAGCGGAAAAUCAGAUGCUCCAGUUUGGCCACAUGAAAACUGGGGCAACACAAGACGAUCAAUCAAUAUCAAUUAAUGGGGGCGAUUCGCCUCUCCUUCUCAAUUUCUCAAGGUCAUGUUCCUUUAAGCCUAUCUUCAAAUAAGACUUGAUUACUCUUCUCGUAACCUCCUUCCCACUUGAAAAUCGGAAUCCGAGCAUCUUAACAGUACCUUCAGUCUCUUAAGAUACGAGACUAUGCUCUCAAGGGGCCCAGUUGCAAGUUCAUCGAGUUGUUCGGGAUGAUGAGCAUUCCUGUCUCUCUUUCCCGUCUUCCAUCUGUUUGGUGACGACUAUUUUGAUUUCUGUGGUGUCCAACGCCGUUCCGGUGACCUCGCCGUGUAUGUCGACACAGCUUUACCCUGUCCAAGUUGAAACAGGAUAUUCCUCAAUAUCUCUACCUUCUGAAGCAAUGGUGCAAGAGCAAAAGCAUAAAAAACAAACAAACGAUGAGAGAGAACACUUUUGAUGGUGGUAGUGGUGGGGAGCGUGUUGAAACAAUUCCAUUAAGUGGUCAUUACAUUUGACCUGCAAACAAAUGUGUGCGCUGAAGCGAUCUAACCAUAGAAGACGAGAUCGAAAGUAAACCUGUUCUCCUCCUCUUCAUCAUUUGACGUGGAUUCAAAGACGUUGGAGUGGUGGGGAUGAGAGAAAAGCUUGGAUCCUUACUGCGGGAGUUAACACCGAACCAUUUAACUUUCUCCAAGGAACUAUGUAAGGAGCAAAUAGAGUAUAUUCUAUCCCUGCUUGGAAAUUUCUGGAAAUAGUGUUGCGUAUUAAAGACAGGCAUUCACAUUAAAAAAAUAUAAUCUUAAAAAAGAAACUUUGUACCUCCAUGUUCAGGUAGAGUGCAGUAAAGUGCAGGAAGUGCAAUACUUAAUUUUUAUGGAUAAAAUUUAUCUUUAUCCCA